rnacentral:lncRNA from 1 species
UUUCGGUCUUUAACAAACCAGCCAGUCAGUCAUGCGGCCACGCAGCGACUUGGCGAUACCAUUCACCCGAGCAGACUCGGAUUACAGCUGCCAAUGUUCGGUUGUCCUUUUUGUCCUAAUCGAGGCAAUAAGAAUCUGGAAGCAAGCUUACCAUAGAGCGCCAAGCUGCUGCUGUUGCUACCAUAGAACACCCCUGUGGUGGUUAGCCAUCUGCCGUUUGUUCUUUUUCGAUGCAGGUUGGCUAACUAGAAGAGGUAGCACAACCUUCGGUGUAGGGCCGCGAAAGGUAGUCAUACGUUGGCAGCAACAGCUCUUUGCUAGUCAGUCGCCGUUUGACCACAAUAGGACAACGUAAAAGCUCCAGGAAAUACUGCUAUGUAGACAACAAGCAAAACGACAGAAGUGUCUGGAGUAAGCAAAGCAACGCGGUAGAAGUAACUUCGACAAACGUAAAUGUGGCUUAGAUGCACUCAUCGGUCGGGGUUGGCCGAAUUCCCACUUCUUUGGCUGUCCCCGCUUUGCUCGCGGGUUUGUUCCCAGUGCACUGCUUUCCUCAGCGGCUUUUCAAGCUCAAUAUCACCAACAACGACGCUGUUCUUUACCAUUGCGUUGACUUCUGCCCUGUAAUCGCUAACCUCUGCCUUGGAACUCAGUUUUACGCUGCGUUUCUCUCUCGCCUGCAAAAUUGUCCAGCAGCUUACGCUCUUACUACUGUCGCCAUUGUUGUUAAAGGCAAGGGUAAAUCGUGGCCGAGCGUUUGCCUCUUCUUAAAGUCAUUGAUCAGCCUUAUCAUGGUUUGACCACCUAGGCUAGCAGCUAGGACCAAAGCUAGCAGCAGGCCUGCUGUUUUCAACGCGGAUGUUCUCCUUUUCCCCCUCCUCCUCCCUCUCUUCCUACUCUUCAAGUAUGCUAAUGAGGAGAUUUUCACGGAGAACUUUUCGAUCAUGGGAGGCAUUCUUGGGGUUGUGUCGAGUGUAGACGCGUCGAAUCAGGCGGGGAAGCACUCCAAUUUACGAGGACUCAAAAUCUAGAGAAUGUGGAAGCCGGAGUUUUCGCACGAUCUAGGCUAAAUGGCGAUGAAGCCGUGCGGUGUUGUCAAGUAACUACGUCUAGAAGGCUUUUCGAGAUAUCUGGAAGCAUUAACUGUCUCCCUUUCAUAACAUACGUCCCUAGUAUCCACUGCGAGCGUGAGAAUUAGUCUGUUUAAAUUUAGUCGGCACUACCAAUGUAAUUUCUUUGAAACAUGUGCUUCAAAGGAUCCUAUAUAGAGUUAACAGAAAGAGAGCAUUGUUUAUGCCACGAUUUGUUGAAAAACUUAUCCGACUAAAACAAAUUGUUUUAAGGUCAAGCGCCUGAGAUCACAUCCUCCACAGUCUUUGCAUUCGAGAUGCCAUUGGACAUGGUGCUUCCGGAUGCACUCUACGAAAUCAAAGUCAAUUCUAGCGGCACUAAGGACAGGCCGACUACCACUGAGAUGUAUUCGAAACACAAUUUGAGUUACGGUGCAGUACAACGCGGGAAAAAAUAAAAGGGACCUACAUGUAGCA